GGCCAUACCACUGUGAACUUGCCCAAUCUUAUCUGAUCUUGGAAGCUAAACAGGGUUGGGUCUGGUUAGUACUUCGUGGGAGAUCAAUGCAGCCUAAAAUGUC
ensembl:rRNA 5S_rRNA 5S ribosomal RNA